AGCUUUGCGCAGUGGCAGUAUCAUAGCCAAUGAGGUUUAUCCGAGGCGCAAUUAUUGCUAAUUAAUAAAUUAAAUAAUAAAAUGGGGACUCUUUUAGUGCUUAUAAAGGUUUACUAACC
rnacentral:snRNA from 2 species